rnacentral:lncRNA from 1 species
GGCGCGGUGGCUCAAGCGUGUAAUCCCAGCACUUUGGGAGGCCGAGAGGGGCGGAUGAGGAGGUCAGGAGAUAGAGACCAUCCUGGCUAACACAGUGAAACUCCCUCUCUACUAAAAAAUACAAAAAACUAGCCGGACGAGGUGGCGGGCGUCUGUAGUCCCAGCUACUCGGAAGGCUGAGGCAGAAGAAUGGCAGUAAACCCAGGAGGCGGAGCUUCCAGCGACUGAGAUCCGGCCACUGCGCUCCAGCCUGGGCGACAGAGCGAGACUCUCAAAAAAAAAAAAAAAAAAAAUUUAUACGUGUAAUCCCAGCACUUUGGGAGGCCAAGGCGGGCGGAUGGCAAGGUCAGGAGAUUGAGACCAUCCUGGCCAACAUGGUGAAACCUCAUCUCUACUAAAAAUAGAAAUAGUUGUGCGUGCUGGCAUGCGCCUGUAAUCUCAGCUACUCGGAGGCUGAGGCAGGAGAACCGCUUGAAACCGGGAGGCAGAGGUUGCAGUGAGUCAAGAUCAUGCCUCUGCACUCCAGCUGGGCAACAGAGGGAGACUGUUUGAAAAAAAAAGUCCAAAAUUGAGCUGAAUGAGCCAGUCUACAUGGUUCUCCAGUCCACACUUUACUGUUUCAAAGACUCUUGACUUUCAAUAUGUGCAUUUUCUGUGCACUGUCAGCUCUCAAUUUCCCAACACACGGUGUUCCCAGGACAGCCGCAUCCGUGCCCUCCAUACAAACAAUUCUCCGUUGCGGAGAAACAAUGCUGAAACAUGACCCAGAGCAUGGGAUUUCAAAUCAGACCAAUGGAGCUUUGCUUUUCAUUUCUCCACUUCCAACCUUUGUGAACAUCACUUAGCUAUAGCUCUGCACCUCACCUGCAAAUGGGGGUAAUGAUAGCAGUCAGUUCAUUGAGUUAUUGGAAGAUUAAUUAACGCCUUUAAAGCACCUUUCUAGCAUUGGAUCCACCUAAAGUAAGUGAUUAAUAUAUGUUGAAAUAUUAUUAUUACUGUAACUCGUCACCUUGUAAUCAGUGCAUAUUUCUAGCUAACUAAAAUCACAGUGAUUUCUUUAGCUAAAAUGAAUUAUUUUACUGAAUAUACAAUUCAGAUAGCAC